GGGAAAUACUUUUUGCAGGGGGCUGGGGUUCCGAUUGGUGGCCCAGUGGCCGGGAUCAUGGCCGAGUUGGUCGUUGGGUGUGGGGAGUUGGAUAUGUUGGGGUCCCUUAGGAGCAGCUUUGGGAUGUGCCAGCGGUGCGUCGAUGAUGUGUGUGUCGUUUGGAGUGGGGGGGCGGAGGACCAGAGAUUGGUGGAGGCCCUCAACGAUGACACUUUGGGCCUUCGGAUGCGGGUGGAGCGGGCGUCUGCUGGGGGGUUUCGUUUCUUAGAUGUGGAAGUGGAGGUGGAUGGAGGGGAUUGUAUCACUAGGAUCUGUGGGAGGCCCUCGUAUACCAUGGUGUUGAUUCC
rnacentral:lncRNA from 1 species